rnacentral:misc_RNA from 1 species
UGGCAACAAAGUGCUCCAGC